CCUACGGGAGGCAGCAGUGGGGAAUAUUGCACAAUGGGGGAAACCCUGAUGCAGCGACGCCGCGUGAGUGAAGAAGUAUUUCGGUAUGUAAAGCUCUAUCAGCAGGGAAGAAAAUGACGGUACCUGUUUAAGAAGCACCGGCUAACUACGUGCCAGCAGCCCCGGUAAUACGUAGGGGGCAAGCGUUAUCCGGAUUUACUGGGUGUAAAGGGAGCGUAGACGGCAGCACAAGUCUGGAGUGAAAUGCCGGGGCUUAACCCCGGAACUGCGUUGGAAACUGGGCAGCUAGAGUGCAGGAGAGGUAAGUGGAAUUCCUAGUGUAGCGGUGAAAUGCGUAGAUAUUAGGAGGAACACCAGUGGCGAAGGCGGCUUACUGGAGUGUAACUGACGUUGAGGCUCGAAAGCGUGGGGAGCAAACAGGAUUAGAUACCCUUGUAGUC
rnacentral:rRNA from 1 species